rnacentral:rRNA from 1 species
GGAGGGGGCAAGCGUUGUUCGGAAUUACUGGGCGUAAAGGGCGCGUAGGCGGUAUGCCAUGUCAGGGGUGAAAGACCUGGGCUCAACCCAGGAAUUGCCUUUGAAACUGGCAAACUAGAGUCCGAUAGAGGAUGGCGGAAUUCCCAGUGUAGAGGUGAAAUUCGUAGAUAUUGGGAAGAACACCAGUGGCGAAGGCGGCCAUCUGGAUCGGCACUGACGCUGAGGCGCGAAAGCGUGGGGAGCAAACAGGGAUUAGAUACCCUGGUAGUCCACGCCGUAAACGAUGUGUGCUAGACGUUGGGGGUCUUAGACCCCUGGGCGUCGUAGCUAACGCGUUAAGCACACCGCCUGGGGGAGUACGGCCGCAAGGUUA